rnacentral:rRNA from 1 species
GACGAACGCUGGCGGCGUGCUUAACACAUGCAAGUCGAACGAGUGGCGAACGGGUGAGUAACGCAUCGGAACGUACCGAGUAAUGGGGGAUAACUGUCCGAAAGGACAGCUAAUACCGCAUAUUAUUCGAGCGGCCGAUGUCUGAUUAGCUGGUUGGCGGGGUAAAGGCCCACCAAGGCGACGAUCAGUAGCGGGUCUGAGAGGAUGAUCCUGCACACUGGGACUGAGACACGGCCCAGACUCCGACGGGAGGAAGCAGUGGGGAAUUUUGGACAAUGGGGGCAAGCCUGAUCCAGCCAUUCCGCGUGUCUGAAGAAGGCCUUCGGGUUGUAAAGGACUUUUGUCAGGGAAGCGGUACCUGAAGAAUAAGCACCGGCUAACUACGUGCCAGCAGCCGCGGUAAUAC